rnacentral:rRNA from 1 species
GAUUAUGGCUCAGGACGAACGCUGGCGGCGUGCUUAACACAUGCAAGUCGAGCGGAGACAUAUAACGGAAGGCUUCGGCCGGAAGAUAUAUGUUUAGCGGCGGACGGGUGAGUAACGCGUGAGCAACCUGUCCUUCACAGGGGGAUAAGAUACCGAAAGGUGUUCUAAUACCGCAUAAGACCACAGAGCCGCAUGGCAGAGGGGUCAAAGGAGCAAUCCGGUGAAGGGUGGGCUCGCGUCCGAUUAGAUAGUUGGUGAGGUAACGGCCCACCAAGUCGACGAUCGGUAGCCGACCUGAGAGGGUGAUCGGCCACAUUGGGACUGAGACACGGCCCAGACUCCUACGGGAGGCAGUAGUGGGGAAUAUUGGGCAAUGGGGGAAAAACCCCCUGACCCAGCAACGCCGCGUGGAGGAAGAAGGUCUUCGGAUCGUAAACUCCUGUCCUAAGAGACGAGCAGGAGACGGUAUCUUAGGAGGAAGCCCCGGCUAACUACGUGCCAGCAGCCGC